CAAAACAUUUAGACCCUUUGAAAGAGAAAUGUUUGCAAUGGAUAUUAAUAAAUUCUAGCCAAUUUGUAUGAUGUACAAUGCAGGCAAUAUUUCUGCCUCCUAACGCACUAUUCGCGUAAAAGAAGAUGUGGGUAUUGUAUUUAUACCUAGAAAAGAUUUAUUAUUAGUUGGCUAGUGUGUUAGUAGGAUAGCCAUUGGUAGUUAUAAAGUAUGAAGUCGUCAGGUAUUAAUAAUAGGAAUUGAUCAAAGCUUAUAUAUUUAUUGUGAUAUUUAUAUUGUGAAUUUAAGUAGUUAGAGUUUUGGUUGUUUAAUAAACGAAUUAAUGUGCUUA